rnacentral:tRNA from 1 species
GCCCCCUUGGUGAAAUGGAUAUCACGAAUCUCUCCUAAAGAUUAGUUACAAGUUCGAUUCUUGUAGAGGGCGCCA